CCUGGUGGCGAGUGGCGAACGGGUGAGUAAUACAUCGGAACAUGUCCUGUAGUGGGGGAUAGCCCGGCGAAAGCCGGAUUAAUACCGCAUACGAUCUACGGAUGAAAGCGGGGGACCUUCGGGCCUCGCGCUAUAGGGUUGGCCGAUGGCUGAUUAGCUAGUUGGUGGGGUAAAGGCCUACCAAGGCGACGAUCAGUAGCUGGUCUGAGAGGACGACCAGCCACACUGGGACUGAGACACGGCCCAGACUCCUACGGGAGGCAGCAGUGGGGAAUUUUGGACAAUGGGCGAAAGCCUGAUCCAGCAAUGCCGCGUGUGUGAAGAAGGCCUUCGGGUUGUAAAGCACUUUUGUCCGGAAAGAAAUCCUUGGUUCUAAUAUAGCCGGGGGAUGACGGUACCGGAAGAAUAAGCACCGGCUAACUACGUGCCAGCAGCCGCGGUAAUACGUAGGGUGCGAGCGUUAAUCGGAAUUACUGGGCGUAAAGCGUGCGCAGGCGGUUUGCUAAGACCGAUGUGAAAUCCCCGGGCUCAACCUGGGAACUGCAUUGGUGACUGGCAGGCUAGAGUAUGGCAGAGGGGGGUAGAAUUCCACGUGUAGCAGUGAAAUGCGUAGAGAUGUGGAGGAAUACCGAUGGCGAAGGC
rnacentral:rRNA from 1 species